rnacentral:tRNA from 1 species
GGGUCGGUAGCUCAGCUGGUAGAGCACCGCCCUUUUAAGGCGAUUGUCGCGAGUUCGAGCCUCGCCCGACUCACCA